rnacentral:rRNA from 1 species
GAGUUUGAUCAUGGCUCAGGAUGAACGCUGGCGGCGUGCUUAACACAUGCAAGUCGAACGAAGCGCUUCUGUGGAAGUUUUCGGAUGGAAACAGAAGUGACUGAGUGGCGGACGGGUGAGUAACGCGUGGGUAACCUGCCUCAUACAGGGGGAUAACAGCCGGAAACGGCUGCUAAUACCGCAUAAGCGCACAGUGCCGCAUGGCACCGUGUGAAAAACUCCGGUGGUAUGAGAUGGACCCGCGUCUGAUUAGGUAGUUGGUGCGGUAAC